rnacentral:rRNA from 1 species
GACAGGGGGGGCACGCGAUGUUCGGUGUCACUGGGCUUAGAGCGUGUGUAGGAGGCAAAGUAAGCGCUUUGUGAAAGCCACCGGCUCAACCGGGGAAUUGCUUGGCGAACUGCUUUGCUUGAGGCAAGAAGGGGUGCGGGGAACUCUUGGUGGAGCGGUGGAAUGCGUAGAUACCAAGAGGAACGCCGGUGGUGAAGACGCUGCACUAUACUUCUCCUGACGCUGAGACAAGAAAGCGUGGGGAGCAAACGGG